CCUUGCGUCGGUUGGUUAGCCUACCCUCUAUUGGAUGGGGGAUGGUGCCCGCAGCCUUCGGGUGAGGGGUGUCACGAGGUCUUAGAUCGAAGUGGUAAAACCUAUACGGCCAAGAAAAGCAAUUCCGUAGUUAGUCGGUGCCCGUAUCGCAAACCGACACAGGUAGGCGAGGAGAGUAUCCUCAGGCGCGCGAGAGAACCCACGUUAAGGAACUCGGCAAUCUCUCCCUGUAACUUCGGAAGAAGGGGAGCCCCGUUAUCGUGUAAGCCCUUGCGGCUGAAGCGAGAAGGGGCCGCAGAGAAUCGGUUCAAGCGACUGUUUACCAAAAACAUAGGUCUCUGCUAAGCCGUAAGGCGAAGUAUAGGGGCUGAUGCCUGCCCAAUGCCGGAAUGUUACGGGGAGGUGUUAGGCGCAAGCCGAAGCAUCGAACUUAAGCACCGGUCAAUGGCGGCCGUAACUAUAACGGUCCUAAGGUAGCGAAAUUCCUUGUCGGGUAAGUUCCGACCUGCACGAAUGGCAUAACGACUUGAACGCUGUCUCAACGUGGGACUCGGCGAAAUUGUAUUACGAGUGAAGAUGCUCGUUUCUCAUAGCAAGACGGAAAGACCCUGUGGAGCUUUACUGUAGCUUGGUAUUGAGUCGUUGGUUCAGAUGCAGAGGAUAGGUAGGAGGCGAUGAGGCGGUCCUUUCGGGGGUCGCGGAGCCACCCUUGGAAUACUACCCUUCUGAUCUGACGGCUCUAACCUUGACCGUGAUCCGGUUGAGGAACAGUUCCAGGUGGGCAGUUUGACUGGGGCGGUCGCCUCCCAAAUGGUAACGGAGGCGUUCAAAGGUUCCUUCAAGACGGUUGGCAAUCGUCUGUAGAGCGCAAUGGUAUAAGGGAGCUUGACUGCGAGAGGUACAUCUCGAGCAGGUGCGAAAGCAGGACAUAGUGAUCCGACGGUGGAAAGUGGGAUCGCCGAAGCUCAACGGAUAAAAGCUACCCCGGGGAUAACAGGCUUAUCUCUCCCAAGAGUCCAUAUCGACGGGGAGGUUUGGCACCUCGAUGUCGGCUCGUCGCAUCCUGGGGCUGUAUUAGGUCCCAAGGGUUGGGCUGUUCGCCCAUUAAAGCGGCACGCGAGCUGGGUUCAGAACGUCGUGAGACAGUUCGGUCCCUAUCUGCUAUGAGCGUAAGAGAAUUGAGGAGAGUUGUCCUUAGUACGAGAGGACCGGGAUGAACGGACCGCUGGUGUACCGGUUAUGCCGCCAGGUGUAAACGCCGGGUAGCUACGUCCGGAUCGGAUAAGCGCUGAAAGCAUCUAAGUGCGAAGCCGACUCCAAGAUGAAUUCUCUCACCCUUUGGGGUAAGACCCCUGGAAGAUAACCAGGUGGAUAGGUCACAUGUGGAAGCGUGGUUAACACGUGCAGCUAAGUGACACUAAUCGGUCGAGGACUUGACUG
rnacentral:rRNA from 1 species